GUCGAGCGGAGCAUUUUCCACGGCAUAUUUUCUCGUCCUAGUGUUAUUAAGCUAAUGGAGGGAUGCAAAAAUGAUUUCCACGGUGAGAGGUAUAGGGUACGGUUAGAGCGUGUGUAUAAAUGAAAUGCGGUUCUAGAAUGGAUUCAACGGUUGUGACGAGGGGAAGAACACAGGAAACGCGGAAUGGAGACGCGCGAACGGGAGAAAUAAAAAGAGGAAACUAGGGAUAAACGAGAAACACGAUUGACGCGACAACAAAGCCUGGAUUUCCCGGUGUCCUACUGUGCCUACAGUCGAUAAAACAUCGCGUAUGUUCGUUCAAAGAAUCGGGAAGAGAAUAAAGAAGAUAUGCACGCGAUCUUGACGUCUCCAUUACAAUGGCGCUCGGGAUACGACGACGGAGGACAAUAACAAAGGACUGCCAUCUCGUGUGCUCCGUACGAUACGAUAAAGGACGUUCGUUUUAUUUACCGUUUCGUUUCUUCGACUUUUUAAGCGGAAUUUACUCGAUCGAAGCAUCGAUUUUAAGCUUCUUACUUAAGUUGCUUUCAAAACAAAUCACUGUGAGUGGACGACACUCUGCAAACACGUGACAUCUAGAAAAUAAUGCAUUUUCUCGAUCUCGAAAAAUUGUUUUUUUUUUAAGAUGAACCGAAUCGUUGAAAACAAAUUAACCUUCGAUUGUAUCGCGUCUAUCAUCAAAAUUUCCACUCAAAGAAUGGACCAGGAAUCGAAUGUUUUUUUCUUUUUCUUUCCAGGAUGAAUCACGAGAAACCAAGUGAAAAAUAUCCUGCUACCCGGAAAUCUCGUUCUCUUCGGAAACGAAUUUCGAAAACGAAUCAAUAAAUAAACGAGUAAAAUAUUUUUCUCCUUUAAAAAAAAAACGAAACCAAAAGAACCUCGAGAAUAAAAAGUGGAAGAUUCCGUUUAAUUUUCUCUCGGCGUAGAAUGGAAUGGCGACUUACCCCCGGAACACGCCUCUCACGUGAGAAUCCCCAUGCUGCUUCGAUUUCCGACUGGAUAUUCCCGAUCAGUAAUCUUGGAUUCUCCAGAGAGAAACCAACCAACCAAGUUCGAUUCUUUUUUUUUUUUUUACAAGAA